rnacentral:rRNA from 1 species
AGAGGCGAUGAAGGACGUGCUAAUCUGCGAUAAGCGUCGGUAAGGUGAUAUGAACCGUUAUAACCGGCGAUUUCCGAAUGGGGAAACCCAGUGUGUUUCGACACACUAUCAUUAACUGAAUCCAUAGGUUAAUGAGGCGAACCGGGGGAACUGAAACAUCUAAGUACCCCGAGGAAAAGAAAUCAACCGAGAUUCCCCCAGUAGCGGCGAGCGAACGGGGAGCAGCCCAGAGCCUGAAUCAGUGUGUGUGUUAGUGGAAGCGUCUGGAAAGGCGCGCGAUACAGGGUGACAGCCCCGUACACAAAAAUGCACAUGCUGUGAGCUCGAUGAGUAGGGCGGGACACGUGGUAUCCUGUCUGAAUAUGGGGGGACCAUCCUCCAAGGCUAAAUACUCCUGACUGACCGAUAGUGAACCAGUACCGUGAGGGAAAGGCGAAAAGAACCCCGGCGAGGGGAGUGAAAAAGAACCUGAAACCGUGUACGUACAAGCAGUGGGAGCACGCUUAGGCGUGUGACUGCGUACCUUUUGUAUAAUGGGUCAGCGACUUAUAUUCUGUAGCAAGGUUAACCGAAUAGGGGAGCCGAAGGGAAACCGAGUCUUAACUGGGCGUUAAGUUGCAGGGUAUAGACCCGAAACCCGGUGAUCUAGCCAUGGGCAGGUUGAAGGUUGGGUAACACUAACUGGAGGACCGAACCGACUAAUGUUGAAAAAUUAGCGGAUGACUUGUGGCUGGGGGUGAAAGGCCAAUCAAACCGGGAGAUAGCUGGUUCUCCCCGAAAGCUAUUUAGGUAGCGCCUCGUGAAUUCAUCUCCGGGGGUAGAGCACUGUUUCGGCAAGGGGGUCAUCCCGACUUACCAACCCGAUGCAAACUGCGAAUACCGGAGAAUGUUAUCACGGGAGACACACGGCGGGUGCUAACGUCCGUCGUGAAGAGGGAAACAACCCAGACCGCCAGCUAAGGUCCCAAAGUCAUGGUUAAGUGGGAAACGAUGUGGGAAGGCCCAGACAGCCAGGAUGUUGGCUUAGAAGCAGCCAUCAUUUAAAGAAAGCGUAAUAGCUCACUGGUCGAGUCGGCCUGCGCGGAAGAUGUAACGGGGCUAAACCAUGCACCGAAGCUGCGGCAGCGACGCUUAUGCGUUGUUGGGUAGGGGAGCGUUCUGUAAGCCUGCGAAGGUGUGCUGUGAGGCAUGCUGGAGGUAUCAGAAGUGCGAAUGCUGACAUAAGUAACGAUAAAGCGGGUGAAAAGCCCGCUCGCCGGAAGACCAAGGGUUCCUGUCCAACGUUAAUCGGGGCAGGGUGAGUCGACCCCUAAGGCGAGGCCGAAAGGCGUAGUCGAUGGGAAACAGGUUAAUAUUCCUGUACUUGGUGUUACUGCGAAGGGGGGACGGAGAAGGCUAUGUUGGCCGGGCGACGGUUGUCCCGGUUUAAGCGUGUAGGCUGGUUUUCCAGGCAAAUCCGGAAAAUCAAGGCUGAGGCGUGAUGACGAGGCACUACGGUGCUGAAGCAACAAAUGCCCUGCUUCCAGGAAAAGCCUCUAAGCAUCAGGUAACAUCAAAUCGUACCCCAAACCGACACAGGUGGUCAGGUAGAGAAUACCAAGGCGCUUGAGAGAACUCGGGUGAAGGAACUAGGCAAAAUGGUGCCGUAACUUCGGGAGAAGGCACGCUGAUAUGUAGGUGAAGUCCCUCGCGGAUGGAGCUGAAAUCAGUCGAAGAUACCAGCUGGCUGCAACUGUUUAUUAAAAACACAGCACUGUGCAAACACGAAAGUGGACGUAUACGGUGUGACGCCUGCCCGGUGCCGGAAGGUUAAUUGAUGGGGUUAGCCGCAAGGCGAAGCUCUUGAUCGAAGCCCCGGUAAACGGCGGCCGUAACUAUAACGGUCCUAAGGUAGCGAAAUUCCUUGUCGGGUAAGUUCCGACCUGCACGAAUGGCGUAAUGAUGGCCAGGCUGUCUCCACCCGAGACUCAGUGAAAUUGAACUCGCUGUGAAGAUGCAGUGUACCCGCGGCAAGACGGAAAGACCCCGUGAACCUUUACUAUAGCUUGACACUGAACAUUGAGCCUUGAUGUGUAGGAUAGGUGGGAGGCUUUGAAGUGUGGACGCCAGUCUGCAUGGAGCCGACCUUGAAAUACCACCCUUUAAUGUUUGAUGUUCUAACGUUGACCCGUAAUCCGGGUUGCGGACAGUGUCUGGUGGGUAGUUUGACUGGGGCGGUCUCCUCCUAAAGAGUAACGGAGGAGCACGAAGGUUGGCUAAUCCUGGUCGGACAUCAGGAGGUUAGUGCAAUGGCAUAAGCCAGCUUGACUGCGAGCGUGACGGCGCGAGCAGGUGCGAAAGCAGGUCAUAGUGAUCCGGUGGUUCUGAAUGGAAGGGCCAUCGCUCAACGGAUAAAAGGUACUCCGGGGAUAACAGGCUGAUACCGCCCAAGAGUUCAUAUCGACGGCGGUGUUUGGCACCUCGAUGUCGGCUCAUCACAUCCUGGGGCUGAAGUAGGUCCCAAGGGUAUGGCUGUUCGCCAUUUAAAGUGGUACGCGAGCUGGGUUUAGAACGUCGUGAGACAGUUCGGUCCCUAUCUGCCGUGGGCGCUGGAGAACUGAGGGGGGCUGCUCCUAGUACGAGAGGACCGGAGUGGACGCAUCACUGGUGUUCGGGUUGUCAUGCCAAUGGCACUGCCCGGUAGCUAAAUGCGGAAGAGAUAAGUGCUGAAAGCAUCUAAGCACGAAACUUGCCCCGAGAUGAGUUCUCCCUGACCCUUUAAGGGUCCUGAAGGAACGUUGAAGACGACGACGUUGAUAGGCCGGGUGUGUAAGCGCAGCGAUGCGUUGAGCUAACCGGUACUAAUGAACCGUGAGGCUUAACCUU